rnacentral:rRNA from 1 species
AGUUUGAUCCUGGCUCAGGAUGAACGCUAGCUACAGGCUUAACACAUGCAAGUCGAGGGGCAGCAUUUUAGUUUGCUUGCAAACUGAAGAUGGCGACCGGCGCACGGGUGAGUAACACGUAUCCAACCUGCCGAUAACUCCGGGAUAGCCUUUCGAAAGAAAGAUUAAUACCGGAUAGCAUACGAAUAUCGCAUGAUAUUUUUAUUAAAGAAUUUUGGUUAUCGAUGGGGAUGCGUUCCAUUAGUUUGUUGGCGGGGUAACGGCCCACCAAGACUACGAUGGAUAGGGGUUCUGAGAGGAAGGUCCCCCACAUUGGAACUGAGACACGGUCCAAAUCCUACGGGAGGCAGCAGUGAGGAAUAUUGGUCAAUGGGCGCGAGCCUGAACCAGCCAAGUAGCGUGAAGGAUGAAGGCUCUAUGGGUCGUAAACUUCUUUUAUAUGGGAAUAAAGUAUUCCACGUGUGGAAUUUUGUAUGUACCAUAUGAAUAAGGAUCGGCUAACUCCGUGCCAGCAGCCGCGGUAAUACGGAGGAUCCGAGCGUUAUCCGGAUUUAUUGGGUUUAAAGGGAGCGUAGGUGGAUUGUUAAGUCAGUUGUGAAAGUUUGCGGCUCAACCGUAAAAUUGCAGUUGAAACUGGGAGUCUUGAGUACAGUAGAGGUGGGCGGAAUUCGUGGUGUAGCGGUGAAAUGCUUAGAUAUCACGAAGAACUCCGAUUGCGAAGGCAGCUCACUAGACUGUCACUGACACUGAUGCUCGAAAGUGUGGGUAUCAAACAGGAUUAGAUACCCUGGUAGUCCACACAGUAAACGAUGAAUACUCGCUGUUUGCGAUAUACAGUAAGCGGCCAAGCGAAAGCAUUAAGUAUUCCACCUGGGGAGUACGCCGGCAACGGUGAAACUCAAAGGAAUUGACGGGGGCCCGCACAAGCGGAGGAACAUGUGGUUUAAUUCGAUGAUACGCGAGGAACCUUACCCGGGCUUAAAUUGCAACAGAAUAUAUUGGAAACAGUAUAGCCGUAAGGCUGUUGUGAAGGUGCUGCAUGGUUGUCGUCAGCUCGUGCCGUGAGGUGUCGGCUUAAGUGCCAUAACGAGCGCAACCCUUAUCUUUAGUUACUAACAGGUCAUGCUGAGGACUCUAGAGAGACUGCCGUCGUAAGAUGUGAGGAAGGNGG